GGAGUUUGGUCCGUGUCUCAGUACCAAUGUGGGGGACCUUCCUCUCAGAACCCCUACUGAUCGUUGCCCCGGUGGGCCGUUACCCCGCCGGCAAGCUAAUCAGACGCAUCCCCAUCCCUUACCGAUGAAUCUUUGCUCCUCAUCUGAUGCCAUCAAAGGAGAACAUAGAGUAUUAAUCCGACUUUCGCCGGGCUAUCCUCUAGUAAGGGGAAGGUUGGAUACGCGUUACUCACCCGUUCGCCACUAGGAUUCUGCCGAAACAAAAUCCCCGUUCGACUUGCAUGUGUUAGGCACGCCGCCAGCGUUCGUCCUCGAGCCAGGAGUCAAACUACU
rnacentral:rRNA from 1 species